GCCAAGGUGAGGAGCUGGCCAAGGUGAGGAGCUGGCCAAGGUGAGGAGCUGGCCAAGGUGAGGAGCUGGCCAAGGUGAGGAGCUGGCCAAGGUGAGGGUUGGCCAAGGUGAGGAGCUGGCCAAGGUGAGGAGCUGGCCAAGGUGAGGAGCUGGCGGAGCUGAGGGCUGCCUGGGAGGUGGAGCUGCCUUCCGAGUGUGUGAGAUCUUGUUUGCAUUGAUGGAGCUGAUCAUGGUGUGUUUUCUGGAGCACUGUACCUGGAAUCUCUGGAUUGGUUAUGGAGACAGGAAAGGAGAGGAGCUACAGGGCUUUGUAGAGCCAUGGAGUGUCCUGGGUAGUGAGGAUCAUCCAGUCCAAACCCUGUCCCUGCACAGACACCCCAGCAA